UCGUUUCUUUAGAUCUGCAAUUACGAGUUUUAAUGUUAAUAAUUAGGGCCUUGGUUCUGAGACAAAGGCAAUUGCUCAUCCAUACUUUUAAUUGUGGUUCUAAUUCUAGGUUCACAAAAAGUAUAGCACAGAGCGUGCUUUAUACUGUUGGAUUCAUUUACUCUUAAAGGUCAGAGUGGGCUUGUAAACAACCCACAAGAAGUUUAUUUUUUAGUUUUUAACAAUAUUUCUUAAUAAAACUACACCAGACGACAUCUAAGAUGUUUUCAGCCCUAAAUAGGGACUAAGAUCUUUUUGUGUUAGUGUACAGUGAAAGUAAAUGAGUUGCACUAGUAUUUCACUGCAUGAAUCUGCAACUGUGGAUUCUAGUAAACUGAGUGCAACUGUGGACUUGUUUAACCCUAAAACAGGGAGUGCAACCCUUUUGGGUAACUUAUAGUGAAAGUAAUUAAACUACAAUAGGGAUUUGUCUUAUUAAUCUGCAACUGGGAUUUGUAGUGUGCAGAAGUCUGCAACUGUGGACUGGUUCAACCCUAAACAGUGAUUAUGACCUUUUUAUGUCAAUUUACAUUGAAAUUAACUGAAUGGCAGUAGGGUUUUAUGUUGGGUAAGUUCAUAUUUCUAUAAUUGAACCUUUUGAGGCCUAAAAGAUGCCCACUUAGGUGUUGUUAAUACCUCAUGAAUCUCCAGGUCUCCCAACUAAGGUUGUUCAUGAAAGAUUAUACAGAGAUGCCGGUCUGCAGUCAGGGAUGUUGUUUGUGGAGUUCCAGCAAGUUGAUUUUACAUUUCCAAAGAACCUUCUGUGCCUCUGUAUUCUGGGAAGGACUUGCCUUCUCCCUCCUUGUUCAAUAAACCCCUGGCAACCUGAUAACCGACAGUAAAUGAGCUACAUUAGUAUCUAACUACAUUUAUUUUAAUCUUUAACAAUUUUUCUUAAAUAAAGAUAAACCAGACGACAGCUAAGAUGUUUUUAAACCUUAAAUAGAAACUAGGUUCCCUUUGAUGGUAGCAAAAAUACAUGAGCUGCACUGGUGUUACCUGCCUUUUAGUCUUUAACAAUUUUUUCUUAUUAAUAGAAAUAUAUCUGACGGCAGCUAAGAUGUUUUUAAACCCUAAAAAAUAAAAACUAGGAUCCCUUUUGGUAUUAGCAACAAUAAAUGAGCUGCACUAGUAUCUACUUGCAUUUAUUUUAGUUUUAAACAAUUUUUCCUCUUAAUAAAUAUAACCCAGACGACAGCUAAGAUGUUUUUAAACCUUAAAUAGAAACUAGGUUCCCUUUGAUGUUAGCAAUAGUAAAUAAGCUGCACUAGUGCGUAAUUACAUUUAUUUUAGUCUUUAACAAAUUCUCUUAUUAAUAAAUGUAAACCAGAUGGCAAUUUAGAUGGUUUUAAAACCUUAAAUAGAAACUAAGAUCCCUUUGGUGUUAGCAACAGUAAAUGAGCUACACUAAGGUGUAACUGCUUUUAUUUUAGUCUUUAACAAAUUUUCUUAUUAAUAAAUAUAAACCAGACGACAGCUAAGAUGCUUUUAAACUCUAAAUACAAACUAGGAUCCCUUUGUUGUUAGUUACAGUAAAAUGAUCUGCACUUGUGUUGAACUGCAUGAAUCUACAACUGUGAGGUUCUAGUGUUACUAAUCAGGGCCUUGGUUUUGAGACAAAGGCAAUCGCUGCUCAUCCAACUUUUUAAUAAAUCUAAACCACACGACAUCUAAGAUGUUUCUAAACCCUGAAUGGAGACUAGGAUUCGUUUUGAGACCUAAAAGAUUCCCACCUGGAGUUGUUUAAACUUCACUUAAAUUGCCAGGUCUCCCAACUGAGGCUGUUCAAGGGACUUUUAGUUGAGACAUUUGUCUGGAGUCAGUGAUGCUGAUUAGGGAGUUCUGGGAAAUUGAUGGGCAGUUUCAGGGAAAUCUUUAUUCUUCGGUAAUACGGGAAGUUUCCGCCUUCUUGAUCCUUUACUAUAAAGCUCUGGACGCAGGUAGAACGUGAGGAGAGUGACGCCGGUACAGUUCUGAGACGGUUCGGACGAGGAGUCGCUUGGAGUUUUAAUACGCCAGCGGUUGGCUGGAGCUUUAAUCGCAGGACUACUGAUUUGGGGACGGAAUACGGAGCAGUUGUUUGGAGCGCUAAUAUUUGGCUGCAGUCAUAGUGGAGUCGACCGGAGGUUGAACGGACGAUUACUCACAGGUACGAAGGUUUUUCUCUUAUUAUCCUAGCGGAUGCUUAAUUUUUAGUCUCCAUCUAUGAAGGUCAUUCUGUUUCAAAAAGCACAAACUUGUAGAUCUGUUGUGUGUAUUUGUACUACAUGAUGGGUGCUUGAAAACAGUGUGUGUGUGUGCGUGCAGUACAGUGUGAGGAGCUGUACACCAACACCCGUAAACCUGUAAAGCUAAAUGUGUACCUGUAAGAAACACGCACAUGCGUGUGAAAUAAAAUACAGUUGUGUGGGACAUUUUCAACUACAAGUCUGUAAACACAAGUGUACAGAUCUGUUUCUGCACACGCUCAACUCUUUUAUUACAAUUGCACAGCUUUCCUCUCACACAUCUGAUUUUUGAAACUAUUUUCAUGAUUAAUUUGUGUCAAAAUGCACAAGUUUGUAAAUGUGUUGUCUGAGUCCGUACAACACAGUGUGGGCUUGAAGAUUGGAUGUGAGUGUGUGUACCGUAAAAUGUGAGCUUGAAGUUUUGAGGUGAGUGUCUGUGCAUUAAAACGUGAGAAGCUGCACAUCAACAUGUGUGAAAUUGUGAAGAUAAAUGGUACUUGUAAGAAAAAGUAAAUUGUAUGUGAAACAAAAGAAACUAAUAUGUAAAAUUUUCUUCUGCGACCCAGUAAAUGCAACUUCUCAAAUACGUUUCUGCGCAUGCUCAGUUGUUGUUUUACAAGCGCACAACUCUCCUCUCGCGAGUCUGACUUUUGAAACACUUCUGGCAGGUUGUGUGUUGCAAAUUGCAGCUGUGUGUAUCUCAUAGACUGUACAUACUGGACAAAUGGAUUCCAUAGGCUCCAAAAACACGUUUUUUGUCCAUAAUGGGAGGUGGCCACCACCGCCAUUUUGACCGUGUCACAGGUUCCGUCCAGCCCAGACAAUUCCAUAAAAGGGAAGAGAGGAGGCGCUGAGGGUGGGGCUGUAAGGCUGGGAUCGAGUGACGAACUAGCUACGAGUUAACCUGAAGCUAACCCUGGCUAACCCAAAGCUAAAGCGGAGGUGGGAGCCGAGCUAACGGAUGUAGCCACCUAGCUUCAAUUCAACCGGAGCUAACUGGAACACCCAACGACCUGACCCUCACACUGAGUUUAGGUGGAGGUUUUCUGCGCCUGUUCGUGAGAAGUACCUGUAUUAAAAAAGUUUUAAAUCGGUAAGUUUAUAAUUUAUUUCCAUAAUGAAAACAUUUUGCUUUGAGCAAGUUUUCAGUACAGUUUUUUUCGGCGCUAUCACUCCUGAGUCGCACCAGCCAUUAAAUGUAUCAUGAAUAAGAGAAAAUAUAUUUAAGUCGUAUUUUGGGGGGACAUUUUAUUAUCUUUCUUACAAAAUCUGAGACCAAGCGUUUCACAUUGCAACACAAGCACCGGUAACCAUAACAGAAUGAACAGCCAGCAGAGGAGAGGAUGGCGGUGUUUCAAACCCUCCCGGCCGGCGUGGAGAGCUCAUUCCUGGGCUGGAGCCGGCCCUCAGCACCCCGCCACAGGCUCUAACAGAUGCUGGCGGUGUUUCAUAUAUUUCCAAAAUGUAAUACUUGUUUGUAUCUUGUACAGCCAAGUAGCCUUUAUUCUGGACUCAGUACAAUUUACCAAAAGUAAAGAGACAUUAUACAGAUGAAGUAAGCACAAGAUAACUUACUGGAAGACACAGAGUUAUCAUCAGAACCAGAACAAGAGAGCCUGAUAACAGUCAUGCGAAAAUAACAGUUAAAAAGUAUGUAUGUAUAAUAGAAAUAAAAAUAUAUUAGAAUUAGUGUAACUCACUGUGAUCCAAACAAUAAAUCAGCCAUAGCUGAUUAGUAAAUAUGACAUGAGGUCUGGGAGUUUUUAAGUUUCAUUCUUUUAUUACAUUUUUUUCUUAGAUCUGUUAAAAGGUCACCGUGGCAGCCUGUGUGUCAACGUCAGCUACACAACGCAGCAAGUCCAUUUGGAUCAUUGGUGACAGCUACGUGAGGCGUGGUGCCCAGAGAGCUGCAGAGACCGUCGGACACAACCUUGGCCUCCCUGACGUCUGUGUCUCCUGGUUUGGUUGGGGCGGACCAUCGACAUACAUACAUGUGCCGACACUUUGCGCCCUGUUUUAUAAAAUGUAGUGUUAAAAAUAAAUGUUUUUGCUCAAUUACUGGAAUUUCUUUGGUUAAGACAAAAGUGACGAAUAAUCAUUUACAAGUUAUUUGUACAACAGGCCCAUUUUAAAUCCCAACAGUUUCUUAGCAGACAAUAGAAAUGUGUUCUUUAUAGGGCCGGGACUUUAACGCGUUAAUUACGAUUAAUUAAUUAGAAAAAAAUAACGCGUUAAAAUUUUUUAACGCAUUUAAUCGCAGCUUGCAUUUCAAGCACGGCGGAACCUUUGUCAUUGCACGACUUCCUCGUAGACUGAAUAUCACUGACGCACACAACAAUGCACAGCGCUAAUGGCUACUAAACGUAAUAAAAACAGAAAGAAGUUGCCUUGCUUGGACUGAUGCAGGAUUUAGGAAACACGUCCGCCUCUUUUCUUAACUUGGGGGGAAAAAAAACUUCCAGACAACAACGGAGUCCGUGUCGCGGACAUUUUUCAGAGAUCGUCUCUGCUACGGCUGCCCGCCCGGUAGCACCGUAAACUUUACAAAAGUUGCGGUAAGCUAUAUUUUUAACAUUUACGUAACAUCUGUGCAGCGCUGAAAGCACCAGACAGAAUAAUUCUUUGCCCUAACAGUAGUUUAUGAAAGUAGUCAGACAAACGAGAGGCACCUGGCUGCCGCUGGGAGAACGCUCCGUGUUCUCGUGUCUUACAGUUGAAAACAGAAGUUUAAGUUAAAACAGAAACACUCUGAAACUUUUCUGAUGAUUUUCUAAACAAUUCUGUCGGGGAAUUCUAUGUUUCUGAGACGAGUCUCUGUCUAAACAUCACAUGCAUUAUUACUAUCAUUAAGCAGCGAGGUGUGUUAAAGCUGUGUAUCUGGGGCAGCGAGGAACGAGGAAGUUGUGAUCCGGCUGAAGAUCACACCAGAUUCGCUGCAGCAGGCGUGAAUCUGCGGGUCUGCAGCAUCCCCUUAUUAACGUGACAGCAGGACUUCCCAUGUAAGGAAGGUCCGCUCACCUGUUCGUCAGAUCAUUAUUUCCUCGCCAUGAUCUUUUAUCUUCCCAUCAACCUCCAGUCAUCCAACUGGAACCAGUUAGUGUUCCUGAUCAUUCUCAGAAUAUGCCACGCCUGCUCUGGUGUUAAAAGUUAGUACAUUUAAGUCCUAGAUCAUAUUUGUGCCUGUUCUACUGUCAUUUUGAAGGAUUAUUAUUUAUGUGUUUUUUACUACAUUAUGAGUAGAAAUGCUAAUAAAAACUCCCAAUUAUACAAACAAGUGAAACUGGAAAAAUUAGAAUCUGGUGCAAAGUCAAAUUUAUUUCAGUCAUUCAACUAGACAGAGAGACUAUUUAAAGGCUCAGGAACCUUCUAUUUGUAAUUAUAAAUUUUAGUUUAUUUGGGUUUUGUUUCAUAUCACACAGUGACAUUUGAAUAAUUAAAAUGCAUUUUUUUAUUAAACGCUUUAGUUUACAGUAAUAACCAUGUCUAAUGUUUGAUUCUCUGUCUCAAAAUUUUAAUUAAAAGUUUUACUUUGAAAGCACAUUUGCCUGAACGAUUAAAAUGCGAUUAAUUGAGAUUAAUUAAUUACAAAGCCUGUAAUUAAUUAGAUUAAAAAUUUUAAUGAAGUUCCAGCCCUAGUUCUUUACUAACUUUACUUGGUUUGAAAAUCUUACUAAAAUAAACUUGAGUGCCGUAUUGCAAAACCCAAUCAUACUUGUUAUGUAAACAUUAGCUUUGUAGAUAUUUUUUACAGAUAUAUAUUUGUGUGCAACAAAAACCAAACUUAAAUAAUUUGUCAUUCUUUAUUGAAAAACAACAAAAUACAGGUAUACAGAAGUGUGGGAAAAUGAUAAUGUGAAAGUAUUGCACUAUAAAUGAAGUGAGAUGAGAUGAAGGUGGACGCCAGCGGGCUGGACGCCGGACGAGGAAACCUGGAGACGGAUCGCUCAGACAGGAAGGGAAGAGCUUCCUCUUACCUUGAUGGAAUUAAAGUUAGCCGUCAUCUGAAUGCCCAACCGUACGGUCUGAGGUCAAAGGUCACAGGAAACACACACCAGUCAGCAGUCAUACAGAUGCAUAAAGAUAACUGUAGCCAUGGCAACCAGCUGACAUGUCCCCACUUUCACCAGCACCUGGUGCCUGCCGGGUCACCUGAAUUCCUGUGUGAUGUCAGCACGGUCGGCCGUGACUGCGGCCAUCAGAGGUGACCUCUGAUCAGCUGAAUGAACUCACCUUCCAGGGUGACGCCGUGUUAGAGUCGGCUUCAUCCUGUAAACAAACAAACAAACAAACAAAUGAGUGGUAACAAAAACACCACGUCUGGUUCUGGUGGAGGCGGAGGACAACAUGCACCUUUCCAGGAGCAGAACCCAGAUGUUCUUGUUGCUACAAACAGAGACGAGCAGAGUUAAACCAGGAAGUGAGAGGGACCAGCUGCUGCAGACAGGUGACGCUCACCUGAGCCUGAACCAUAGGAGCCUCCUCAGCCAUCAGACCUUCUGACUCCAGUUCAGAUGCCACCUUGUUGAUGUCCCUCAGGCGUGACUCGUUGGCCUUCAGGUCCUGCAGGACAAAAGCACCUGCUGAUCACCUUGUUGCUGUCGGGUUAACAGGUCUGGUGUUAGAACGUGGUGGAUAAGAAUGUUCUGACGGGCCGAGGGUUCUGAACUCACCCUGCAGGACUGGGCCUGCUCCUUCAGGGCCUGGAUGCUGCUGCCGUAAGCCGACAGGUCCGACAUCAGGGCCUCGUGCUUCUUCAGGAGAGCCUGUGGAGCAGAACAUCAGAACCUUCAGCUCGUCUGACACAAGUGGCGCUUUCUCGCAGCGAUGGUCCAAUCGGAUCCGCCACCGUAAAACAAACCCUGCUCAGUUCCCCGCAGACGCAGCUCUGCGGGUGUUUAGUGGAAAAGCGUGAGCCUUCUGCCGGCUGCCAUGUGUCAUGGCUGCUCUGCAGCGGGAACACACAUCACAGCUUGUAAACCGUUUGAAAUAAGAGCAACGGGAACACGUUUGUCAUCACUUCCUGUGCGAGGCCAGCACUUCUACCCCUAACCCAUGAGACGCUCAAACGAGCAACGUCUGGUAGACAACCGAAGGAAAUGACAAAUACAGAAACACUAAUUAUGAAGGACUGGAAAGAGAGCAAAGAAAAGCGAUUGGAGUUUCUCAGGAAGGGACUUCCAUACCUCGGCCAAGUCCUCGUCUUUCCCUUAGUCUGGACUUCCAACGAUGGGCUCCUUCUCCCUCAUCCAGGACUCGGCCUCAUUAGCAUCCGCAAAGUACUGCUGGGCCUGCAGAGAGUCCUCCAGGUCCUGCCUCCUCUGGGACGCCUUGGCCUUCAGCAUGUCCCAACGUCCAUGAAGCUCCCACAGUUUAGUCUUCACUUCCUCACCAGCGAAGUGACCUGGACCCAAAAAAAGUGAGCCAGAACCUGCAGACACCUCAGAAACAUGUCAGGACCAGACCUGCUCUACCUUCCUCCACCAUGGUCUCUCCUUUCUGGGUGACAGUCUUGAUGCAAGGUUCAUGACCUGUGAUCUCAGCCUGCAGAGCCUGGUGCUUCUUCAGCAGGUUCUGGACACCAAUCAGGUCCUUCCCUGAGGACACAUGUUAAGAGUUCAGCAUUAUGCAGUAGACAGACCAGUUUAACCCAGGGGUUUCUUUCUUCUACAAUCUGCUCUUUAACUGUAUUAUUUCCUGCUAUUUCAGCUGUUAACUUUAUUUUUUCUCUAAGUGUUUUUCUCCCCAGAAGAAGCUACAAUGGUGUUCUGCUGAGCUGUGGUGGCCUCAUGGAGGGGGCCAUCGGCUAGUACACUGCUGCUAACCACUUAAACAUUCUCCCUCUCCUGAUAAUAACAUUUUACUUUCUUUGAUGUUGGAUGUGCUACUACUAGUUUACCCGUUUAAUUAUAGAUUCACUAGGAUAAAUACAAUAAAGUUUUAUCUCUCGCCAAAUAGAAUAUUUACUAAGAAAUCACAAUGUAAUGUGUGUGUGUGUGUGUGUGUGUGUGUGUGUGUGUGUGUAAAAGCCAUGUGUAGUGUUUAUUUAUAAAGCAUAUGUUGUUGGAUUUUAUCCAGAAUCGAGACUUUGAAAAUAUAUAUUUUAAUUACAGUUUGAUUUAUUUGACAUCUGUAUAAUGUUUAUUAUUUUGUUUUUUCCCCCUAAAUACCUAACGUUUUAGUUAACAUGAAUAUUAGUCAUUCAUCCCAAAACAUAAAGUUACACAUUUUAAAUUUUAAUAGGGGAAGACUGCAGGAGGGAGUGGUAAAAUACAGGGGGUCCCCUGCAAAAACUAAAUUUACGAGUCUGAUGAAACUUGCUGGUAUUCCCGCUGCUUCUUCAGUAAACAGCGCCAACAAAAACAAAGAAACUUGGGAUCUUGUCGGCGUGGCGGUGGGAUUUAAGGGAAACGCUGUAUGCCCUAUAGACUUCUCAACGAGCUGCAGUAUUUCUCCGGUCAGAUCUGUCUCCGAGUUCGAGAGCUCCACGAGCGGUCAGCCCGCAGCAGCGAGGCGCUGCAUCGGUCAGGCUGCCCGGCCUGACCGCUGGGGAUUACCGGAUGAAAGAAUGGAGCACAGGUGUCCCUCCAAGCGGCGCGCUCCGUCAUAUUUCAACCCAUUUUUAUCUUAAAUGCACUGGGUUUUACCCUUUUACCCAUUAAAAUAUGCCCUAUUAAUUAUUUUACCGUAUUUUACAUUUAAAUUUCAUGGUUAAACAGUACAUGCUACGUGCUAAACUGAUAGUUAGCUAGCUACUUCGGUAAACUCAGCUAGGUGGCAGUGACAUAAAAUACAAAUAUAGACUUUAACUUACCAAAAAAAAUGAAGUGGAGACUCCUUGGACGCUCUAUUAGUGCAAUUAAUACCACAGCAAGUCAUUUUGUCCAACAAUUGCACCAAUAAUAUCCAAAACAGAAUUCACAAGCACAGAGACUCAAAAUCCCCUCACAGUUUCCAGGAGAGACCGAGGCUGUACUGAGGCCUUUCCACGGAGCUAGCUAUGUGGUCACGUGGGUCUGAGGCGGCGGUCACGUGUGUCGGAUGCUCAUUAAUUAUACAGAAUUUUAGGCUUUCAAUACACUUAAACAGAAGAGUGAGAAAAAAUUCACCCCCCUCAGAGUUGUCAUGAGUAUAAACUAGAUAAUUUAGACAAAAAACAAUUUUUGGAACCAGGCUGUAAACAUGUUUAUUUCUGCUGUGAAAAUGGCAUUUUUAACAUGGGAGUCAAUGAGGAUUUGCUCGCUUCUGGUACCAGCCCCCAGCGGAUGAGGGUGGAACUGCAAUUUUUCUUACUUCCGGGAUGGAACCAUUUUUAGAGCGGCAUUGUGGGGGCUUGGUGUAUCUGCAGAGGCGAGUGGAGCAGGGGAUGAGGGCGAGGGUGGGGGCAGAAGGAGGAGCCACAGAGGGAGGGUUGUCAUUGGUCGGCUCUGGUUUCCAGGACAACAGGCUCAACCAAUCAGAGUGAGAGUUGCGUUUUUCCCUCGGUUUUCAGUCCGCUGCCGUCUGCAGUUCGCGACGGCAGAACGAGCUGGGGUAAGUACAUUUCAACUUAUUUUAGUCAUUUCCUCGUCUUUUUAUUUAAACAAGGUGACACACUAACUUAGUCAUGCUAUUUAUACCAUUAUUAAGGCCUUAUUAUAAGAUAUUUGUACAACUAUGUAGUCUAGCUAAAGUUUAUAUGAGCUGCUUUGCUAAGUUAGCAGAAACAAGAACGCCACUGCUAACACUGUAGUCUUGCAUUAAGGCCACUGUGCUUGGGUAUAAUCCCAGGGGUGUUUCUCAAUGUCAAGGCUUAGAGGACACUGUCCUUCCUUGGUCAAAGAAAACAGUUAAAUGGAACUGACUUGCAUCACGUGACCAGGGCACGGGCCUAAAAUCUGAGCCCGUGUCUGGCCCGGCCCGAGAGGGUGGAGCCCCAGCCCGACCUGGUCCGAAAAGGUUUUCAGGAUUCUCUGGCCCGACCUGAGCCCGACUUUUUUCUAACCUUUCAUAAUGUUUUAGCGUGAUAGAAUGCUCAGCAUUCUAAUUAUCUGUGGGAAGCGUUCUGCAGUAAAAAAAAAAAAAAAAAAGAAAGAAAGAAAAACAGCAACAAUGCAGCUGUUUUUUCUAACAGAGCGUAUUUUUCGAGCGGCAGAUGAAAUUUACGAACACUAUAUUAAAUGGAUGCAUUUGUAAAUUUAAUCUGCUCUGAAAAUUAGAAAAUUAGAAUGCUGCUUUUUUUCUAACUGCAGAGCGCAUUUUCAGAGCGGCAGAUUAAAUAAACACCCCCAAUUAAUAUAGCGUUUGUAAAUUUUAUCUGCCGCUCUGAAAAUGCGCUCUCUAGUUAGAAAAAACCCCAGCAAUGAAUGCUGUAUUUUUUUUAACUGCAGAGCGAAUUUAUCCACAGAAAAAUAGAAUGCUGCUGUUUUCAUGAGAAUAAACGAAUGGUUUCUGACAUCAAAGUGGACAUAAAAUGGCAUAUUAGAAUAGGGGCACAUGUUUCAAUCAGCAGUUUGAGAAUUUGUUCAUAUAGGCCCAUUUAUAAACCACACAGACCUUAACUGAGCUAACGGGUGCCGGUGCGUGAGAAGCAGGCAGGUGCUGCUGCGUUUAAGUGUUUCAGUUUUUUUUUAUGAAUUCGAUUAAAAAUAAAGGCGCCCGGCCCGUGUCCGAGGUAAUUACAGUCGUUGGCCCGAAGACCGGCCCUCGGGCCGGGCUGACUCCAGGGCUGGGCUUCAGUAUAGGGCUCUAACAGAGAUUAACGAUAGAUAAAAUCACUGUUGGAAAAUGUCUCCCACCCCAUGCUGUUGCAGACGCUGUUCCCCACAAAUUCACUUAUUUGUUUGCAUUCUUGCUGCUUCAGUGAAUUUCACUUUUAUUUUACUAACGCUAAUUCACCUCAUUUGCAUUAUUCAUAGAACAUUUAGAGUUUUUCAAAGCACCAAAAUGUCCACUGAGGGACAAUGAAGUACUUAGAAAAUGCUGAUAAGUGUCUGACACCUCGGAUAUCAGCCCAGGCUGCUGACACUCUGAACAAUCAGAUCUCCUGGCAACUCGGCUCCUCCACCAUUACCACAUCAAAGCUCUCAGCCUCUCCUCUGCUGUCCACCACAGAUUUCACACCUUCCACCACAGACAGAAACCUCUUCUGUUUGUGUCCUAAACAAGCCUAUAGAGCUCCGGGAGUUAACGUCACUUCUCCCGGCAUGCAACAGUUCAAAUCGAAACGGUGCCAUAUUGGCAUGCAGAAGCCGGCAGCUGGACUAUUUGUUAUUGUCAGAAAACUCAAUCAAACGGGAAAUAUGGUAGAUUCCUGUUGUGCCCCAGGAUGCAGAACAGACGCGGACGACAUAAGGAAUGAGCCAUCUACAGGAUUCUCCAAGAUCCGGAGCGCCGCAAACGUUGGAUCAUUUUAAUAAAACGCACUAGUGACCGGGCGAAAAUGAAGCUGUGGGAUCCCGAGAGUAAAGGUUUUCGCUUAUGCAGCGACCACUUCAUAUCAGGUACUUAAACCAACGUUUCCUCAACUGUGUAUGGUAUUUAUUUUAAAUGCUUUUAUUAUGAUUCUUAGUGGGCUUCCUAAACUUAUUUUGGCGUGGCUUUUUCUGUCUUAUUACUCAUAGCAGCAAGUAAACAUCACGUAAAACGUUGCCUCAUGAGUUCUGCGUGCUGCCGUUUCCGUGUUUUAUGAUCACAGCAAUUAACCGGCUAAGCUGUAUUUAAUUUUUAAGCAAUGGUUGAUCAAUUGUCAGAUCACACAUAAAAAGCACUUUGGAUUGCUGUUAUCUGUCUCACCGAGACUUCUUACGUGUAAAUCUGUUAUUUUUCCGUCCAUCCAUCCAUUUUCAUCCGCGUAUCCGGAGUCGGGUUGCGGGGGCAGUAGCGUGACUUCCCUCUCCCCAGCCGCCGGAGCCAGCUCCUCCGGGUAAAUUCCAAGGGGUUCCCCGGUCAGGUCCGGUGUUGUGCCGGUAAGAAGUCCGCUCUGACAGCUUCUGGUGUCGGAGCGGGCAGUAGAGUCAAGCGUCCCAGACCUUCUCCCCAGCUCCUCCGGCCGGGGGAAUCCCAAGGGGUUCCCCGGACAGGUCCGGUGCUGUGCCGGUAAGAAGUCCGCUCCGACAGCUUCUGGCGUUUUUAAAAAGUAUCCCAGGGGCACGGUAAGGGUCGGAGAUGUUUAGUCUAUUUAAUUUCUGACUAUAUAAAACGAUUUCUUCUGUUUUAAAGUGUGAAGUAAACUCCGAUGAAGUAAAAUCCAAGCGGAUCCCGUUCAUGUUCAUGGUUACAUCCGUGUUUGUUUACCUUUUUUGCAUGCCAAAAUGGCGUCCACUAACUGAGAGUCACGUGGGGUCCGGAGCUCUAUUGACUCAGUGAUAAAUUAUAAACUACACAUAUCAAACAAGCUCACCAAAAUAACGUACUAUAGAUAGCAACUCUGUACUGCUUAUAAUAUAAAAUUAAUGCAAACAUUAUAUAAUUAAUUAAUUUUAUAUCUGUAAGUCAAUUCUAUGUAAAGUUUAUCUGCGUAAACCUGAACAGGCCCAACCCGGUCUACUGCUCUGCCUCCCUCUGCAGCCUCAUGUCCUCCCUGAUCAGCUCCAGAAGCUGGUCAUCGCUGGCACCUUCCCCUGGAUGCCCAUUUUCUCCAGAAUAGUCUUAACAAACAUGUAAGAAAAAAAAACAGGAAGUGAAAAGAGGACAACGGGUUAUUCCUUUCAUGGUUUCGCAGAAAAAAAUAAACUCAAGUUUUUAAAAUAUGAGAUGUUAUUGUACCUCCAUGCCACAGCCGCCGAAUACCUUGCUCCAGUGAUCAUGUGGUCCAUCUCCGCCCUAAGCUUAAUAAAUUCCCUGGUUUACUCUUUUGUCCCUAAAAUACAAACUCCUAUUAAAAUCAGGGGGAAAACGUAGCGGGAGAAGUACAACACAGAGCGGCCGAACAUACGAGCCGAGACCUCAAUACAAGCACUUUCAAUGUAACAUUUCUAACUAAAAUAACGUUCAUGUAUCACAAAAAGCCCUUAACCUAACAGUUUUCAAGUUUAUACUGACAUUUAUAUGCGCAAUCCUCUCCGACAGCUCCUGCUUCACUGUCCGCCAUUGUUUUUAAGUUUUUCUGCUAGCCGGCCCGCAAGGCAUCUUGGGAAAUGCUACCCAUUGAAGGAUACGCCGGACCCGUCCUUCAUUCAGGCGAAAAGAAGGCCGGAUUCGUCGACCGCAUUUGAAGGAGUCUUCUAAUUGGGACAGGCCUAGUCGCGGCGCUGUGACGUAACCGGCCGACGAAUCCGUCCGACGUAGGAUGUAGACCCUGAAUUGAGACACAGCCAAGGACAACACGGUGAAGCUAGCCAUGCUAGGCAGAGCUAAUGUUGCCAUGCAGCUCGACGAGGGAAACGGAAGAAACGGAGGACGUUUGGACAGGGAGAACAACAGCAGCUGGGUGCAGAGGUUUGUGACACCAUCCUGAGCCAUACAAAAGAGCGAUUCUCUUUUACCAAGCACCUCGUUACUGCCACUCUGCUACAAAGUGACUUGUUUGUGAAACACACAGCGCAGUUCCCAGAUGCACCACUGGCGACCGCUGUAGAGGCCUACCCCAUGCUGAACAAUGCUAAGCUCAGAACAGAGCUAUUCCUCAUCUAUGAGAACCAUGAGUUCAGGGCUUGCAUUGGUGCACUGACUCUCUUCCAGUUUUUCAUGGAGAACAAUCUUCAAAGCACGUUCACAGAGACUGUCACUCUUUUGAAGAUUCUUGUCACCACACCCAUGACCACAGCUGAAUCAGAAAGGUGCUUUUCUACUUUAAAGAGGAUUAAGACUUCCCUGAGGAACACCAUGACACAGGAUGGGCUGAAUGCUCUUGCCAUGCUCUCCAUGGAAAAAAAAAGUUUGUCACAAACAUUC